CCGAGCACCAGAACGCCUUUUUCGGGUCGUCGACAUGUACGAGGCCGUGCGGGACCUCUUCCCGGACCUCGACCCCCUCUUCUCCGACCAGUACUCCACCUUCCUCCGGACGGAGGCCGCCACCCUCUCGAAGUCCCUGGCGGCGGCGAUCCGGGGAAUCUUCAUGGAACUGGAGAACCUGAUCCGGCGAGAUCCGGCGCGUGCGGCCGUGCCCGGUGGAGGCCUCCACCCGAUCACCCGCUACGUGAUGAACUACCUCCGGGCGGCGUGCGCCUCCCGGCGAACCCUCGAGGAGGUCAUGGAGGAGGACACCGGAACCGCCUCUCCGC
rnacentral:lncRNA from 1 species